GGGGGUUUAGCUCAGUGGUAGAGCACUUGCCUCGCAAGCACAAGGCCCUGGGUUCGGUCCCCAGCUCCG
rfam:Rattus norvegicus chromosome 17, whole genome shotgun sequence.